AAACUGGAGAGUUUGAUCCUGGCUCAGAACGAACGCUGGCGGCGUGCCUAACACAUGCAAGUCGAACGAGAAAUCUCAGUUUCGGCUGAGAGAGUAAAGUGGCGCACGGGUGAGUAACGCGUGGGUAAUCUACCCUUGAGACGGGGAUAACUGUCUGAAAGGACAGCUAAUACCCGAUAACAUCGCCGUGUCCUCGGACGUGGUGAUCAAAGGUGACCGCUACAUGUAAGUUGCUACUUGAGGAUGAGCCCGCGUACCAUUAGCUUGUUGGUGAGGUAAAGGCUCACCAAGGCCAUGAUGGUUAGCUGGUCUGAGAGGAUGAUCAGCCACACUGGAACUGGAACACGGUCCAGACUCCUACGGGAGGCAGCAGUGAGGAAUAUUGCGCAAUGGGGGAAACCCUGACGCAGCAACGCCGCGUGAGUGAGGAAGGCCUUCGGGUUGUAAAGCUCUGUCAAGUGGGAAGAAGGGUUUAGCGUUAACAGCGUUGAACCUUGACGGUACCACGAGAGGAAGCACCGGCUAACUCCGUGCCAGCAGCCGCGGUAAUACGGAGGGUGCAAGCGUUGUUCGGAAUUAUUGGGCGUAAAGAGCGUGUAGGCGGUCAGUUAAGUCAGAUGUGAAAGCCCUGGGCUCAACCCAGGAAGUGCAUCUGAUACUGUAGGCCUUGAGUCCCGGAGAGGGUUGUGGAAUUCCCGGUGUAGAGGUGAAAUUCGUAGAUAUCGAGAGGAACACCUAUGGCGAAGGCGGCCAUCUGGAAGCUAACUGACGCUGAGACGCGAAAGCGUGGGGAGCAAACAGGAUUAGAUACCCUGGUAGUCCACGCCGUAAACGAUGGGUGCUAGGUGUUGCGGGCUUUGACCCCUGCAGUGCCGUAGCUAACGCAUUA
rnacentral:rRNA from 1 species